UUGCACGCUGGCGGCAGGCCUCACCCCUGCCAGUCGAGCGGAUGAAGGGAGCUUGCUCCUGGAUUCAGCGGCGGACGGGUGAGUAAUGCCUAGGAAUCUGCCUGGUAGUGGGGGAUAACGUCCAGAAACGGGCGCUAAUACCGCAUACGUCCUGAGGGAGAAAGUGGGGGAUCUUCGGACCUCACGCUAUCAGAUGAGCCUAGGUCGGAUUAGCUAGUUGGUGGGGUAAAGGCCUACCAAGGCGACGAUCCGUAACUGGUCUGAGAGGAUGAUCAGUCACACUGGAACUGAGACACGGUCCAGACUCCUACGGGAGGCAGCAGUGGGGAAUAUUGGACAAUGGGCGAAAGCCUGAUCCAGCCAUGCCGCGUGUGUGAAGAAGGUCUUCGGAUUGUAAAGCACUUUAAGUUGGGAGGAAGGGCAGUAAGUUAAUACCUUGCUGUUUUGACGUUACCAACAGAAUAAGCACCGGCUAACUUCGUG
rnacentral:rRNA from 1 species